GACGAACCGUGCGAACGUUGUUCGGAAUCACUGGGCAUAAAGGGCGCGUAGGCGGCUUUUCAAGUCAGGGGUGAAAUCCGGCAGCUCAACUGUCGAAGUGCCCUUGAUACUGAUGAGCUCGAGGGAGGUAGGGGUGUGUGGAACUUCCGGUGGAGCGGUGAAAUGCGUUGAUAUCGGAAGGAACGCCGGUGGCGAAAGCGGCGCACUGGACCUCUUCUGACGCUGAGGCGCGAAAGCCAGGGGAGCAAACGGG
rnacentral:rRNA from 1 species